rnacentral:ncRNA from 1 species
GGACUGGUGAGUAACGCGUGAGGAACCUGCCUUCCGAGGGGGACAACAGUUGGAAACGACUGCUAAUACCGCAUAAUGCAUUUGGGUCGCAUGGUCUGAUGCCAAAGAUUUAUCGCUGAAGAUGGCCUCGCGUCUGAUUAGCUAGUUGGUGAGGU